UAAGGCUCCUGUUAGGCUAGGCAUCACCUGUAGGCCGACUCAUUUGUGCAGUCUGUUGGAUCCUGGCUAUUAACAUUUGAGGAAUGGUAUACCAGCGGGAUGUUCAUCCUAAAAUGAAAUACAAUUUGGGCUCAGCUUGACACAACACUUUGGAUGUAAUAUGUCUGACACAUUUUUUUAUUUGGUGGUGAACCUACCCUUUAAUACAUUAUUUAGUAAUCCUCCUAUAGUUGACCCCUAGAAUGGAAUGACUCACAGCUAACAGCAAAAUAACAGAUAUACAAGUUCUCUCUCUGUCACCUCUCAAUCUAUCUGUCUCCUCUCUCUCUUUCACACCCAGCAGGUGUGUUUGCCCAUAGAGUGGUGUUUUGCAUAGCUGUUGAGCCUCACUGCUCCUGACACUAAGACUGCAGUGUUAUCCUCGUUGUGUCCAGUCAGUCUUCUUAGAGCCACAGAUGAGGAAGAUGCUGAUCGUGCUGGCGUUCCUCCUGACUCAGAGUGAGGAACUCUCAGCAUCUCAUUGUGGUCUACUGGUGUUAAUGGUCACAUGGAACACGAUUCCAAUGCCUUUAUUUGGAUUAUUGUGACGACUCAAAGCAAAUUAUUCACUGUUUCCAGUUCAGAGUCAUCUGCACGUGUCCUGAAUCAAGCUGAUUAAUCAAAGUCUGUUUGCCUGGAAGAGAGUGUUUCUAUCAAAGCUGUUGCAAGUUCAACCGGUAUUGGUGAUGACAUGAGCUGGUACCUGCAGAAACCUGGACAGGCUCCUAAACUCCUCAUCUAUAUAGUAAAAACCCUUCAGUCUGGAACACCAUCUAGAUUCAGUGGCAGUAGAUCAGGAUCCAGAGGUCAGGUGACUGUGACUCAGCCUCCUGUAGUGACAUUUUCUCCAGGAGACCCCGUCACUCUGACCUGUACAACCAACCCUGAAGUGUACAAAUGGAGUAGCGGAAAUGAGGGUGCGUACUGGUAUCAACAGAGACCUGGAGAAACUCCCAAACUCCUGAUAAAAUAUAUAAAGACACGGCUAGAUGGGAUUCCUGCUAGAUUCAGUGGCAGUGGGUCUGAGAGUGACUUCACUCUGACCAUCAGUGGAGUCCAGGCUGAAGAUGCAGCAGUUUACUACUGUAAGAGUGUCCACAGUGGAGUCUGCUGUCUUCUCAGAGCCACAAAUGAUGAUGAUACCACUGAUUCCCCUGCUGACCACUCUGGGGUUCCUGACUCAGGGUGAGAAAGUCUCAGCAUCUCUCUCUACUGGUUCUAAUAGGUUGGAAUGGGAAAGUCUUCUCUAAUAGGUUUGAAUGGGAAAGUCCAAGCUGAAGAUGCAGGAGAUUCCUAUGGUAUGAGUGUAUAUGGUGGACCAGUGUUCACACAGUAAUUUAGAGUCAUACAAGCACCUUCCUCAGUCAGACUGUACAGAGACUGUACUGCUGCAGCUGGGACCUACUGCAGGUGUUGAGGAGCAACAGACAUGAAACACUGGUUCACUGAAUCCAAGCCUAAGAUCCUCACACAGCUUUAGACAGUCCCACACCAGGACAAUGUUACCCUGGUUACUCAUGACAGGAUCAUAGUUCACCAAACCACCUCCUCUCUACAACCAUAACCAUAACUUCACCUCCGAAUAGAAACAACCACUUUACUACCAGACCAUUGACCUUCAUCUCUGGAAUGUUCACAUAGAAAUACAUUGUGUAGAACAUACAUCAUUAUCUGUCAAAUAGAACAUUGAGUGUUAGCUCUAUUCAUUGUACUUCUAUCUGUAACGUUGAAAAUGCUUUUCCUCACUGAAUGCGGCCCUGAUUUGCAUGGUCAUGGUGGUUUGGCUUCUCCCAGAAUAGAGCAGAAAGAGACAGAAACAGAGACGGAAACAGAGAGAGAGACAGUGAGAGAGAGAGACAGUGAGAGAGACA